rnacentral:rRNA from 1 species
AUGGUCCACACGAUGACCGAAGGCAUCGUGAAUAGGUUUUUGAGCUCCGCGAAGGCUGAGAUUCUUCAAGAGAACGACGCGGAGAUAAGAUGUCCGUGUCGAAGAUGCAAGCUGAAGAGCCUUAUUGUAGACCCGGAUUCCGGGCAGGUGCGGAACCACCUGCUCUUGCGUGGUUUCAUGGAUGGCUAUCGGUGGCAAGGUGAUGAAGAUGACUAUGAAGUCGUCCAUGGGGGCCGGGCAAGAAAUGAGGAAGGGCAGCAAGACAACCAUCACGGCUCGGGCGGGCGAGAAGACGAAGAAUCUCCAGGACAUGAUCACGACGGUGAUGCUGUACACAGUCAUCAUGUAGAAGAUGCCGGACAUGAUGAUGAGGAAGAUGCCGGAGCAGACGAAGGGCAUGAUCAUGAAGAUGAAGAUGUCGGCGGAGCAGACGACGAUGGACCAUCGAUGGGCUGGGUGCAGGACCCUCAUAUUCAAGAGCUGCUUCUCAAGCAGACGGAUAACGUAAGAGCUGCCGCCCGAGAGAAAGCCAAGCUGGAUCAACUGGAGAUAGAAGCGGUUACUCCAUUGCAUGAAGGAUGCAGGCCCGAGGAUACCCGCCUGAAAAUAACGCUCAUGGCUCUGGAAAUGAAGGUAAAACACAAAAUGACCGACGCAUGCUUCGACGAGAACAUUUCAUUCUGGCACGAACGUCUUCCCAAGGGGAACAAGUGCCCGACCAGUUUCGAGGAGGCGAAGAAAAUCAUGUGUCCUCUGGAUUUACCGCACGUGAAAUACCAUGUGUGCAUGAACAAUUGCAUCAUUUUUCGGGACGAGCACGCGGAGUCUACCAUAUGUCCGGUGUGCGGCGUCACUCGAUACAAGAAGAGGAAGAAAGCUCCUCGAAAAUCGGUGUGGUACUUUCCGAUCACUCCUCGUCUGCAGCGGUAUUUCGUGGACCCUAAGAUAGCAAAGCUCCUGCGUUGGCACGCGGAUAGGGAGGAGAAGAAGCGAGAAGAUGACGCAAAUGAUCCGGAGAUAAAUAAAAAAGACAGGAUGCUGAGUCACCCUAAGAAUGGGAGCCAGUGGCAAGCGUUGAACUUCGAACACCCAGAAUUUGGGAAGGAUCCAAGGAACAUCGUGCUGGGCGCGAGCACCGAUGGAGUCAAUCCGUUUGGCAGCCAGAGAAGCACACAUAGCACCUAG